rnacentral:rRNA from 1 species
GACGUAGGGCGCGAGCGUUGUCCGGAUUUAUUGGGCGUAAAGAGCUCGUAGGCGGUUUGUCGCGUCUGCUGUGAAAACCCGAGGCUCAACCUCGGGCCUGCAGUGGGUACGGGCAGACUAGAGUGCGGUAGGGGAGAUUGGAAUUCCUGGUGUAGCGGUGGAAUGCGCAGAUAUCAGGAGGAACACCAAUGGCGAAGGCAGAUCUCUGGGCCGUAACUGACGCUGAGGAGCGGAAAGCAUGGGGAGCGAACAGG